AUACGGAGGGUGCAAGCGUUAUUCGGAAUCACUGGGCGUAAAGGGUGCGUAGGCGGUUUGAUAAGUCUGAUGUGAAAUCCUAUGGCUCAACCAUAGAACUGCAUUGGAAACUGUCAGACUAGAAUACUAAAGGGGCAGAUGGAAUUAGUGGUGUAGGGAUAAAAUCCGUAGAUAUCACUAGGAAUACCGAAAGCGAAAGCGAUCUGCUGGGAAGUUAUUGACGCUGAGGCACGAAAGCGUGGGGAGCAAACGGGAUUAGAAACCCUAGUAGUCC
rnacentral:rRNA from 1 species